UACGUAGGGUGCGAGCGUUGUCCGGAAUUAUUGGGCGUAAAGGGCUCGUAGGCGGUUUGUCGCGUCGGGAGUGAAAUCCUCGGGCUUAACUCGGGGCUUGCUUUCGAUACGGGCAGACUAGAGGUAUGCAGGGGAGAACGGAAUUCCUGGUGUAGCGGUGAAAUGCGCAGAUAUCCGGAGGAACACCGGUGGCGAAGGCGGUUCUCUGGGCAUGAUCUGACGCUGAGGAGCGAAAGUGUGGGGAGCGAACAGG
rnacentral:rRNA from 1 species